UUCUCCUUUCUCAGAGAUGAAUUUGAUCCAUGGUCUUACUGGGGUUACAGACAUCCUAACGGGGCACAUCAGCCCCAAAAUCAAGGGCUCUGUUGUGCUGAUGAGAAAGAACGUCUUGGAUUUCACUGACUAUGGCGCCAAGCUAAUCGACGACGUCACUGAGUUUCUCGGUCAGAGCAUCACCUUCCAGCUUGUCAGUGCCACCGUCGGUGACAACACAAAUGGGAAUAGGGGCAAGGUGGGGAAGGAGGCUUAUCUUCAACAGUGGUUCACGAACCUAUCACCGCUGGCGGCUGGGGAGACCCGCUUCAGCAUCUCCUUCGAUUCGGAAGCCGGCUUCGGCAUCCCUGGAGCAAUCAUCGUUAACAACAACCAUCUCAACCAGUUCUUUCUCAAGACCAUCACUCUCGACGACGUCCCUGGCAAGGGACGUAUUGUCUUUGUCUGCAACUCAUGGGUGUACCCCAAGUUCAUGUAUAAGUAUAAUCGUGUCUUCUUCGCCAACGAUACAUAUCUCCCUAGCAGUACUCCUGCACCACUUCAACCCUAUAGAGAAGACGAGCUUCUCCAUCUCAGAGGGGACGAUGUCACCGGAAAGCUCGAGGAGUUCCAGCGGGUCUACGGCUAUGCACUUUACAACGAUCUCGGUGAACCUGACAAAGGCGCCGGCCAUGUACGCCCCACCCUUGGAGGUUCCAAAGAGUACCCUUACCCUCGCCGGGGUCGGACUGGGCGCCACCCUUCAAGAACC
rnacentral:misc_RNA from 1 species